rnacentral:misc_RNA from 1 species
UCCGAGUUGACCCCGGCAGUCUCCUACGAGUCCCCGGCAUUAUCCGCUGGCAACAUAGGACAAGGGUUGCGCUCGUUGCGGGACUUAACCCAACAUCUCACGACACGAGCUGACGACAGCCAUGCACCACCUGUGCGCGGCCCCGUAGGACACCACAUCUCUGUGGCUUUUCCGCGCAUGUCAAACCCAGGUAAGGUUCUUCGCGUUGCAUCGAAUUAAGCAACAUGCUCCGCCGCUUGUGCGGGCCCCCGUCAAUUCCUUUGAGUUUCAGCCUUGCGGCCGUACUCCCCAGGCGGGGCACUUAGAGCGUUAGCUACGGCACCGGGAGGGUCGCUCCCCCCGACGCCUAGUGCCCAUCGUUUACGGCGUGGACUAC